rnacentral:rRNA from 1 species
UCAGGCCUAACACAUGCAAGUCGAACGGUAACGCGGGGCAACCUGGCGACGAGUGGCGAACGGGUGAGUAAUGUAUCGGAACGUGCCCAGUUGUGGGGGAUAACUGCUCGAAAGAGCAGCUAAUACCGCAUACGACCUGAGGGUGAAAGCGGGGGAUCGCAAGACCUCGCGCAAUUGGAGCGGCCGAUAUCAGAUUAGGUAGUUGGUGGGGUAAAGGCUCACCAAGCCGACGAUCUGUAGCUGGUCUGAGAGGACGACCAGCCACACUGGGACUGAGACACGGCCCAGACUCCUACGGGAGGCAGCAGUGGGGAAUUUUGGACAAUGGGCGCAAGCCUGAUCCAGAAAGGCCGCGUGCGGGAAGAAGGCCUUCGGG